rnacentral:rRNA from 1 species
UUCCGGUUGAUCCCGCCGGACCUGACUGCUAUCGGAUUGAUACUAAGCCAUGCGAGUCAUUGUAGUAAUACAAGGCAGACGGCUCAGUAACGCGUAGUCAACCUACCCUAUGGACGGGAAUAACCUCGGGAAACUGAGAAUAAUGCCCGAUAGAACACUAUACCUGGAAUGGUUUGUGUUCCAAAUGAUUUAUCGCCAUAGGAUGGGACUGCGGCCUAUCAGUUUGUUGGUGAGGUAAUGGCCCACCAAGACUAUUACAGGUACGGGCUCUGAGAGGAGUGGCCCGGAGAUGGGUACUGAGACACGGACCCAGGCCCUAUGGGGCGCAGCAGGCGAGAAAACUUUGCAAUGUGCGAAAGCACGACAAGGUUAAUCCGAGUGGUUUCUGCUAAAGGAACCUUUUGUCGGUCCUAGAAACACCGAUGAAUAAGGGGUGGGCAAGUUCUGGUGUCAGCCGCCGCGGUAAAACCAGCACCUCAAGUUGUCAGGAUGAUUAUUGGGCCUAAAGCAUCCGUAGCCGGCUCUGUUAGUUUUCGGUUAAAUCUGUACGCUUAACGUACAGGCUGCCGGGAAUACUGCAGAGCUAGGGAGUGGGAGAGGUAGACGGUACUCGGUAGGAAGGGGUAAAAUCCUUUGAUCUAUUGAUGACCACCUGUGGCGAAGGCGGUCUACCAGAACACGUCCGACGGUGAGGGAUGAAAGCUGGGGGAGCAAACCGGAUUAGAUACCCGGGUAGUCCCAGCUGUAAACUAUGCAAACUCAGUGAUGCAUUGGCUUGUGGCCAAUGCAGUGCUGCAGGAAAGCCGUUAAGUUUGCCGCCUGGGAAGUACGUACGCAAGUAUGAAACUUAAAGGAAUUGGCGGGGGAGCACACAAGGGGUGAAGCCUGCGUUCAAUUGGAUUCAACGCCGGGA